UGGAGUUAAAGCGUACAGCUGUGAAUUGUGUGGAAAGUCUUUCACCCAGGCUGGAAGCUUAAAAACACACCAACUCAUCCACAGUACAGUUAAAGCGUACAGCUGUGAUCAGUGUGAUAAAGCUUUUACUCAAAGUAUCCACUUACAGCGUCAUCAAGUGACCCACUCCGGAUUCAAGGCGUACAGCUGUCACAUUUGUGGAAAAACUUUCCGCUGGCUAGUUAGCCGAGACAUUCACCUACGGAUUCACACAAAAAAGGAUGUUUGCUGCUGUGAUCAGUGUGGCAAAAUUUUUGUGACAUACAAAAACUUAGAGAAGCACAUGUUAACCCACACUGAGGAGAGACCUUAUAAAUGUGAACUGUGUGAGAAGACUUUUAAAUCUCCACUUAACCUCAAAUCACACCAAAAGAUUCACAGCAGAGAGAAACUCUACAAGUGCAGUCACUGUGAGAAGCAGAGCGACACAGAUGGAUCCAGUUCUCAACCCUGUCAUCACUGUGGUGGUGAGAAAGAGUUACUGUAUGACCUUUGUGGAAAGACGUUCAAUCAGCAAGAGAGCCUAAAACGACAUAAUUGUAGACACACUGGAGACAAAAUGAACUACUGCAAACAAUGUGGGAGAGGCUUCACCACACCAAGUGAAUUAAGAGAACAUGAACUCUGUCACAGUGAGGUUAAAAAGCAAGUCUGUGACCAGUGUGGGUCAUCCUUCAUCACUGCAGAUCAUCUUGAAGUGCAUAAACGAUCCCACGCUGUAAAUAAACAGUUUCACUGUUACCAAUGUGCAAAAACAUUCACUUCAUUAUCUGCUCUGUGCAAACAUCAGCGUGAUCAUGCAGAACCAAAAUCACUGGAUCACAAUGAAUCUGAAGAGACAGAAAGAUCCUCUUCUGGUUUCAGAAUCAUACUUAAAAACCUUGAGAUCAGGCUCCACAGAGUUCAGAUGGAGUCUCCUGUAAAGAGUGUCAGCUGAUGUCACACUUGGAUCUGAUUUCUUGACUUUCUGGGAUUUAGAAAGUUCGAAAGAUAUUGAUAAGAUCAUUAACUUUUUUUCUUUUUUCCUGUACAGAAUUUUACAAUGAUAUAGUAGUCAUUUCUCCAAGGUGGCGCCUGUGUGCGUCUUAACUUUAUUUAAAUUUAUUUGUGUAUAUAUUUUUGCAAAGUACAAGACUUAGAAUCAAAGUCCGAGUCACAAACUCUCACGACCCCCCCGAAAAAAAACCCAUGUCUCCCCUCCACCCCCAAGGAUAAAC